rnacentral:lncRNA from 1 species
UUUUGUUAGACAUGAACCUUUCUCUCUCUCUGAAAUUCACGAACUCUACUCUCUCAAAUUCACCAAAUUCACUGUGAAAUCGAAACCCAAAUUGAAAGCCACAAAUCGAAACUCCAUUUGCAAUGCUAAUUCUGUGGGGCAUAAUGUAUUCAACUCCAUUCGUCACUCACAUACUAGAGAACUCCACAACUCGUUCUCGUGCUUGUCCUCUCCAACUCGUGCUCCUCCCUCAAUAUCCCUAACCUUCUUCCCAAAAUCCCCUUCCUAAAUCCCUCAUCGUUGCACACAAAGAAACCCAUUUCGUGGAUGGUUGUGUGCAAGACACGUGUACAAACAAGGUGUUUUGAAUACACCUGACACACUCACAUACCUUCUUCAUAACUGAGUGGAAAGCAGUUGGCAAAGUCAGUAGGGGAUUAGGGUUCUACUUUUUCACUCACGAAACCUUCAAGCUUUCCUUAAUAAAGGAAAUUAGGAUUUCCGUUCUCACAAACCUAAUUUGGUGUUCUUUGCCUGCUGCAAAUUGAACAAAGAAAAAUCUGCUUACAUGAAUGAGGUAAUUGUUUUUUAAUUUCAAAUUUAAUGAAGUUUGGAGCAUUUUUUUUUCAUUAUUUAUACAUUCACUUCUCACAAAACCCUUAAGCGGUUCUAAAUAAAAGAAAUUAGGUUUUCCAUUCUCGCAAGUCUAAAUUGGGGUUCUUGGUCUACUGCAAAUUAAAAAGAGAAAAGUCAGCUUACAUGAAUGAGGUAAUCGUUUUUUAGUUUCAAAUUUGGUGAAGUUUGGAGCCUUUUUUUUAAUUAUUUAUACGUUCUCUUCUCACAAAACUCUCAAGUUGUUCUAAACAAAGGAAAUUAGAGUUUACGUUAUUGCAAGUCUAAAUUGGAGUUCUUUGCCUGUUGCAAAUUGAAUAGAGAAAAGACAGUUUACAUGAAGGAGAUAAUCAUUUUUUAAUUUCAAAUCUGAUGAAGUUUAUAGCCUUUUCUUCAUUAUUUAUACGGUCUCUUCUCAUUGGAUUAUGCAUUUCAUAUUGAUGUUAAUCCGUUUGAAUUUUUUACUAUUGCUUUUGUAUUUUUUUUAUGCAAAGCAUUUGUUUUGUUCUUUUGUUUCGUCAUGCAAUGAAUUUCUCAAUCACAUCGUUCUCAAAUCCUUAUAUCUUGAAUUUACUACAUUUCAUAUUGAUGUUCAUCCUGUUUAAAUUUGUUGCUUUUGUUAUCUGCAGAAUUUUUUUUAUCCAAAACAUUUGUUCUAUGCAGACAUGAUUUUCUUUGAGAAGCAUUUGUGUUGUGCAACAACAAUACUUUCUCUGAGAAGCGCAAAGCUUUUUUUUUUUUUAUAGAGAAAAUUGCAAGACAAGGUAAUGGUAUGAAAAUAUUCAAAUUCAAAACUGAUUUUUGAUUUCAUGUUCAUCUGGUUUAAAUGUUUCUUUUGAUUUUGUGCAAUAUAUUUUAUAUGAAACAUUUGUUCUAUUUUUUAUUUAUAUUGAUGCAAUUUCAAUAUACAAUUUCAUGAGAAGCAUUUAUUUUAUGCAGCAAUAAAAAAUUUGUUUUCUAUUUUUUUUUCACAAAAAUUGCAGGACAAGGUAAUGGUAUGGAAAAUUCUAAAUUCAAAUCUAAUUUUUGAUUUCAUAUUGAAAUUCAUAAUUUUUUUUUAUCAAUAUGUAAUCUGUAUGGGAUUAUGUUUUUUAUACAUAUUUAUAUUUUUACAUAUGAAUUUAUGUUGUAUAUAAUACCAAUUUUUUUUUAAUAAUUUGAAUUAAUCAUUAAUUCUUUAAUGUAAGAUAUUUAUAAUAGAAUCGAA